GUUAGUUUCUCAGCAUAGUCCCUGACCACAAAUACUUUUGAGUGGAACAUCUGUUUCUAAUGCGCUCUCCAGAAAUGUUACUUUCUGCAAUAUUCCACUCCUCUCCCAAACGAUAUUUUUCCACUUAUGUUUGCCCAGCAUAGCUUGAAAGCAGAUCAAUAUCUGAAGCAACAAAGAACCCAACUGAGAACAAAGACUUAGAAAGACACGCAAGUGAUUUCCCAGGGCUCCAGGUGGCUGCAGGAGGUUGAGACUGAUGAAGUGCAAUGGCUGUUGCUGUGCUGUCCAUGAUAGCAACUUGUGCUACAGAGAUAUCCCUUGCUGCAUAGACCUUAGGAUCAAAACUCCGGAGAAUGGGCAUACAGUCUUCAAGCUGAGUCGUGGGGAAGAGGAGCUGCAGGAAGUACGCCUCUCCAUGCCCUCCCAGACGGAUGAAAACUUUCAUGAAACAUCCACUGCAAAUGAGGGUUGGCCUUCUACAGAAAGAGUUCCCUCCUGUUCCAAAAGUAGGAGAGAGAAAGGGAAAAGGAGCUGUGAACAGGAGUUGAAGAUGGGUGAUCACAUGAGAAUGAACGUCCUUGAAAG
ensembl:lncRNA